AGUGAACGCUGGCGGUAGGCCUAACACAUGCAAGUCGAACGGCAGCACAGGAGAGCUUGCUCUCUGGGUGGCGAGCGGCGGACGGGUGAGGAAUACAUCGGAAUCUACUCUGUCGUGGGGGAUAACGUAGGGAAACUUACGCUAAUACCGCAUACGACCUACGGGUGAAGGCAGGGGACCUUCGGGCCUUACGCGAUUGAAUGAGCCGAUGUCGGAUUAGCUAGUUGGCGGGGUAAAGGCCCACCAAGGAGACGAUCCGUAGCUGGUCUGAGAGGAUGAUCAGCCACACUGGAACUGAGACACGGUCCAGACUCCUACGGGAGGCAGCAGUGGGGAAUAUUGGACAAUGGGCGCAAGCCUGAUCAAGCCAUACCGCGUGGGUGAAGAAGGCCUUCGGGUUGUAAAGCCCUUUUGUUGGGAAAGAAAUCCAGCUGGCUAAUACCCGGUUGGGAUGACGGUACCCAAAGAAUAAGCACCGGCUAACUUCGUGCCAGCCGCCGCCGUAA
rnacentral:rRNA from 1 species